rnacentral:rRNA from 1 species
AUUGAAUGCUGGCGGCAUGCCUUACACAUGCAAGUCGAACGGCAGCACGGGAGCAAUCCUGGUGGCGAGUGGCGAACGGGUGAGUAAUAUAUCGGAACGUGCCCAGUCGUGGGGGAUAACGUAGCGAAAGCUACGCUAAUACCGCAUACGAACUAUGGAUGAAAGCGGGGGAUCGCAAGACCUCGCGCGAUUGGAGCGGCCGAUAUCAGAUUAGGUAGUUGGUGAGGUAAAGGCUCACCAAGCCGACGAUCUGUAGCUGGUCUGAGAGGACGACCAGCCACACUGGGACUGAGACACGGCCCAGACUCCUACGGGAGGCAGCAGUGGGGAAUUUUGGACAAUGGGCGCAAGCCUGAUCCAGCAAUGCCGCGUGCAGGAUGAAGGCCUUCGGGUUGUAAACUGCUUUUGUACGGAACGAAACGGUGAGCUCUAAUACAGUUUGCUAAUGACGGUACCGUAAGAAUAAGCACCGGCUAACUACGUGCCAGCCGCCGCGGUAA